CCCUCUUCGCUAGCUAGUCCGCCCCUAGCUCCAACCUUCUUUGACCAGCCUGUAAUCCCGCCUUCCUAUCCCGCUCUCCCCUGGACGCCCCUCAUCCUCACGCCCCUUCUCCAAUCUUCUGGCCGUCCCGCCCCUAGCCCCAACCUACCUGGCCCGCCCCUUGCCUGGCCAGCUCUGCUUCCCUUAGCUGCAGGUAAAAAAUUAGAAGUAUGGGCGAAUCCAAGUGGGUCUCCUUUUCUGUUUUUCAUUAGAAGUAAUAUUUACUACAUUUUGAAUAUCAAGAAGAGAGUAGCAGAAAGGAAAAUCAAUUGAGACCAGGUGUGUUGAUUUAUCCUGUAGCCCCAGAAUUUGGGAGACUGAGACUGGAGGAUUUCUAUGGCACUCUUCUCUUGCAGAACUGUUUCCUUUGGAGCCCUCCUCUGCUGCUUUAGACACAGGGCAAGAAGUGAAGGGUUUAAAGUUGGUGAACAGCUUCUAAGAGGAAAUCAACUCAUUACCAACAUGGAAUUGAAAGGAAGGGUUGCUUUGGAAGCUGAGGUUUAGAAGAUAGAUGGGAGGUUUGUCCCUCCUGUGCUUCGUGCCUAUCCACUCCUCUGCUUCACUUUUGACUUCUUAUCCUUUCUUGG